rnacentral:rRNA from 1 species
UACGUAGGGUGCAAGCGUUGUCCGGAAUUAUUGGGCGUAAAGAGCUCGUAGGCGGUUUGUCGCGUCUGCUGUGAAAACCCGAGGCUCAACCUCGGGCCUGCAGUGGGUACGGGCAGACUAGAGUGCGGUAGGGGAGACUGGAAUUCCUGGUGUAGCGGUGAAAUGCGCAGAUAUCAGGAGGAACACCGAUGGCGAAGGCAGGUCUCUGGGCCGAUACUGACGCUGAGGAGCGAAAGCGUGGGGAGCGAACAGG